rnacentral:lncRNA from 1 species
AGUCACAGCAACACUGCGCAUGCGCAAGGACGUGUCGGUCAUCCAAGCCGCUCUUUGAUUGGUCAGAAGUUCUCGGGGGGCGUGGUCAGGAUCUGUAAUAAUAUUAACGCAUUGCAAACAGUGAUUGAAACGUCGAAAAGUUACUGUGUAUUUUGUCUUUGUUAGUAAUGAAACGUAUUAAAGACCGCGCAACAUAUAAAACGACAAUAUAUUGACAUUACAUGCAAUAAAUGAGUUAUUGUCGUUUAAAUCACAGCUCCAGGCUGGCAGUAAAGAAAUAGGAGAGGUGAUUUUGAAUCGUGAUGCAUUAAUACGUCUUUUAAGUUCCUUGGUCUGCCCCACAUUACUCCGGUCUAAUUAAUAACCAGUACAUCACUGUUAAGUAAAAUUGGACCCAAGGUUAUCCUGAUUUCCAUAUGCAGAUCUCCGCCGGCUGCAGCUUUGGCCAUCACCUUGCAUACAUUUAAAAGCAUCUUUUCAGUCCCUGCAUCUGAAUGCAGAUAUCUCGAUUUGAUAAUCUUUUAUUCGACGCUCAGGUUUUAUCGGCUACAUUUAUAUGCGGAUGUAACGGCAUGUCAAAGCAACAUUUGUCGUCCGUUUUUUCAUUUCAUCUUUACAUCUACGACAAAAGACGAACUGAUGUCAUGUUGUAUGUUUGCGUCUUGCAGUAAGUACGAGGAUCUGUACAGCUCACCGCGCGCACGGACAGAAGAAUUUUUCCAUGGACCCCCUGGUUUGGGAGACGGCCGCAGUUUGAAAAACUGUGGUGUAAAGAUGGCAUGGAUUGGAGAGGCCCGCUGUGCUGCUGCGGCUGCCCACACACCGUUUGCACUGUUUGGCCGCCAGAGGGCAGCGCGGGACCGGAACCCAGUGGCACCGGAGGGAGGAAGAGAGGAAAGGCGGUCGAGAGAUCGCUGGCCGUGCAACACGGACUACAGUUCAUCUCACGGGUCGGCGCAUAUUUUAAACAGCCUUUAUUACCCUAACCCAAACCGCUGUUUUUCCCCCUCCCGUUUCUAAAUCCGUUUACUGAGGGUCUUUUAUAAGCAGAAAUGUGAAAAGUGCUGACUGCUAUUCCCAUUUUGAGGAUAUCUGACUUCAUCAAAUUACAGUUGGGUUUUUGAAUAUUUCAUAUUUGAUCAAAAGCCCUUUACAAGCUGCACACACACACACACACACACGCACGCACGCACGCACACACACACACACACACACACACGGGAGAAAUAUUGAUCAA